rnacentral:lncRNA from 1 species
GUAAUAAAAAGGUAAGUUUCUGUAUUCAUUUACAUAGUAGACAAUAUAUUUAUUAAAUGUAUUAUCCAUGAAGAGGCAGCACUGAAGGAAAAAUAAAAUGGUUCAACAUAAAGAAUGGCAGAACUAGGGGCUAGGGAUUUAGCUCAGUGGUUCUGCUGCCUGCCUCGCAAGUGCAAGGUCCCAAGUUCGAUUCCCGGUACCAGAAAAAAAAAAAAGGCAGAACUAUAAAUGGCUGCCCAGGCAAAGCAUGACAAGAGUCUCCUUCUCAUGGCGUCGUCUCAGAUAAAAUGGAUAUAGGAUAAGAUGAACCAAAGUCUUAAUGUGAAGUUCUACUGGUUGAAAUUCUCAGAACCUGAGAAACAGCAGAUUUAUUCUAUUUCUGAGGAUAAAAUAGGGAAUGGGGAAACCUCUUGACUUUGCCCUUCAAAAAGAAUAUAUUUGAGGACUGUCUCUUUCAGCUCAAGGUUACAGAACUCCAAUAGGAUUGAAGUCAAAGCAAACAUGUAAUUUCAAGUCAUUAUUGAUUUUAGGUGAGAGCUAAGUCUUUCCACUAGACCUGAAAACCAUGAAACUGGCAGAAAAGAAAAAUCUCACAAUUCAGUGGUCUCCUGAUUUGUUUGUCGGGCUGGAAAGUAUAGGAGCAAGAGAAUGCAAAGGCCAACUACCAACCCCUUGGAUCAUCAGAUUAGGCAUAGAGGUGGGGUUGCAUUCCUGGCACCCGCAUGGCUCACCUCCUCUGUGCUGGGAGCCAUGGCAUGCCUACCUGGAAGCUUCCUCUAUGUUGGGAGCCAUGGCAUGCCUACACAGAAGCCUCCUCCUGCCUGGGAGCUGUGACACAAUGACCUGGAGGCCUCCUCUGUGCUGAGAGCCAUGGCACGCCUACCCAGAAGUCUCCUCUGUGUUGGGAGCUAUGGCAUACCUACAUGGAAGCCUCCUCCUGCCUGGGAAUCAUG